GGGUUGUGAGGUUAAGUGACUAAGCGUACACGGUGGAUGCCUAGGCAGUCAGAGGCGAUGAAGGGCGUGCUAAUCUGCGAAAAGCGUCGGUAAGGUGAUAUGAACCGUUACAACCGGCGAUACCCGAAUGGGGAAACCCAGUGUGUUUCGACACACUAUCAUGUCAUGAAUACAUAGUGGCAUGAGGCGAACCGGGGGAACUGAAACAUCUAAGUACCCCGAGGAAAAGAAAUCAACCGAGAUUCCCCCAGUAGCGGCGAGCGAACGGGGAGGAGCCCAGAACCUGAAUCGGCUUGUGUGUUAGUGGAAGCGUCUGGAAAGUCGCGCAGCAAAGGGUGAUAGCCCCGUACACUAAAAUGCACAGGUCGUGAGUUCGAUGAGUAGGGCGGGACACGUGACAUCCUGUCUGAAUAUGGGGGGACCAUCCUCCAAGGCUAAAUACUCCUGACUGACCGAUAGUGAACCAGUACCGUGAGGGAAAGGCGAAAAGAACCCCGGCGAGGGGAGUGAAAUAGAACCUGAAACCGUGUACGUACAAGCAGUGGGAGCACCUUCGUGGUGUGACUGCGUACCUUUUGUAUAAUGGGUCAGCGACUUAUAUUUUGUAGCAAGGUUAACCGUAUAGGGGAGCCGUAGGGAAACCGAGUCUUAACUGGGCGAAUAGUUGCAAGGUAUAGACCCGAAACCCGGUGAUCUAGCCAUGGGCAGGUUGAAGGUUGGGUAACACUAACUGGAGGACCGAACCGACUAAUGUUGAAAAAUUAGCGGAUGACUUGUGGCUGGGGGUGAAAGGCCAAUCAAACCGGGAGAUAGCUGGUUCUCCCCGAAAGCUAUUUAGGUAGCGCCUCGUGAACUCAUCUUCGGGGGUAGAGCACUGUUUCGGCUAGGGGGCCAUCCCGGCUUACCAAACCGAUGCAAACUCCGAAUACCGAAGAAUGUUAUCACGGGAGACACACGGCGGGUGCUAACGUCCGUCGUGAAGAGGGAAACAACCCAGACCGCCAGCUAAGGUCCCAAAGUCAUGGUUAAGUGGGAAACGAUGUGGGAAGGCACAGACAGCCAGGAUGUUGGCUUAGAAGCAGCCAUCAUUUAAAGAAAGCGUAAUAGCUCACUGGUCGAGUCGGCCUGCGCGGAAGAUGUAACGGGGCUAAACCAUGCACCGAAGCUGCGGCAGCGACGCUUAGGCGUUGUUGGGUAGGGGAGCGUUCUGUAAGCCGUUGAAGGUGGCCUGUGAGGGUUGCUGGAGGUAUCAGAAGUGCGAAUGCUGACAUAAGUAACGAUAAAGCGGGUGAAAAGCCCGCUCGCCGGAAGACCAAGGGUUCCUGUCCAACGUUAAUCGGGGCAGGGUGAGUCGACCCCUAAGGCGAGGCUGAAAAGCGUAGUCGAUGGGAAACAGGUUAAUAUUCCUGUACUUGGUGUUACUGCGAAGGGGGGACGGAGAAGGCUAGGCUAGCCGGGCGACGGUUGUCCCGGUUUAAGCGUGUAGGGGGUGUGACCUGGUAAAUCCGGUUGCAUACUAACCCUGAGGCGUGAUGACGAUGCACUACGGUGCAGAAGUAGUUGAUGCCCUGCUUCCAGGAAAAUCCUCUAAGCUCCAGGUAACAUUNNNNNNNNNNNNNNNNNNNNNNNNNNNNNNNNNNNNNNNNNNNNNNNNNNNNNNNNNNNNNNNNNNNNNNNNNNNNNNNNNNNNNNNNNNNNNNNNNGAAGCCAGUCGAAGAUACCAGCUGGCUGCAACUGUUUAAUAAAAACACAGCACUGUGCAAACACGAAAGUGGACGUAUACGGUGUGACGCCUGCCCGGUGCUGGAAGGUUAAUUGAUGGGGUCAGCCGCAAGGCGAAGCUCUUGAUCGAAGCCCCAGUAAACGGCGGCCGUAACUAUAACGGUCCUAAGGUAGCGAAAUUCCUUGUCGGGUAAGUUCCGACCUGCACGAAUGGCGUAAUGAUGGCCAGGCUGUCUCCACCCGAGACUCAGUGAAAUUGAACUCGCUGUGAAGAUGCAGUGUACCCGCGGCAAGACGGAAAGACCCCGUGAACCUUUACUAUAGCUUGACACUGAACAUUGAGCCUUGAUGUGUAGGAUAGGUGGGAGGCUUUGAAGCGUGGACGCCAGUCUGCGUGGAGCCAUCCUUGAAAUACCACCCUUUAAUGUUUGAUGUUCUAACUCUGCCCCAUAAUCUGGGGUGAGGACAGUGUCUGGUGGGUAGUUUGACUGGGGCGGUCUCCUCCCAAAGAGUAACGGAGGAGCACGAAGGUUAGCUAAUCACGGUCGGACAUCGUGAGGUUAGUGCAAAGGCAUAAGCUAGCUUGACUGCGAGAGUGACGGCUCGAGCAGGUACGAAAGUAGGUCUUAGUGAUCCGGUGGUUCUGAAUGGAAGGGCCAUCGCUCAACGGAUAAAAGGUACUCCGGGGAUAACAGGCUGAUACCGCCCAAGAGUUCAUAUCGACGGCGGUGUUUGGCACCUCGAUGUCGGCUCAUCACAUCCUGGGGCUGAAGUAGGUCCCAAGGGUAUGGCUGUUCGCCAUUUAAAGUGGUACGCGAGCUGGGUUUAGAACGUCGUGAGACAGUUCGGUCCCUAUCUGCCGUGGGCGUUGGAAGAUUGAGAGGGGUUGCUCCUAGUACGAGAGGACCGGAGUGAACGCACCACUGGUGUUCGGGUUGUCAUGCCAAUGGCAUUGCCCGGUAGCUAAGUGCGGAAAAGAUAAGCGCUGAAAGCAUCUAAGCGCGAAACUUGCCUCAAGAUGAGUCUUCCCUGGGCCUUUAAGGCCCCUGAAGGAACGUUUAAGACUAAGACGUUGAUAGGCUGGGUGUGUAAGUGCAGCGAUGCAUUGAGCUAACCAGUACUAAUGAUCCGUGAGGCUUAACCUUACAACACCGAAGGUGUUUUAG
rnacentral:rRNA from 1 species